UACGUAGGGUGCAAGCGUUAAUCGGAAUACUGGGCGUAAAGCGUGCGCAGGCGGUUAUGUAAGACAGAUGUGAAAUGCCCGGGCUUAACCUGGGAACUGCAUUUGUGACUGCAUGGCUAGAGUUUGGCAGAGGGGGGUAGAAUUCCACGUGUAGCAGUGAAAUGCGUAGAUAUGUGGAGGAACACCGAUGGCGAAGGCAGCCCCCUGGGUCAAGACUGGACGCUCAUGCACGAAAGCGUGGGGAGCAAACAGG
rnacentral:rRNA from 1 species